GAUUAUCUUCCAGACAUCUGUAAUCUCUUUUCUUUGUUUCUCCAAUCAAACCUAUAUUACUUGCGCAAACCAGAAUUGUAUAUACUGAUGCUUUCAUUUAAUAAUGCUGUAUCAUAUUUAGAAGACGAUGACAUUGAGUUUGGAAAACCUCUUGACGAGGAAAGUACUACUAGCAACCCAUCUCCACAAAAAGAAUCGCCAUCUCAUGCUCGUCGAAAAAAAAGAAAAGGAAAUGGUGUGCUAUGCGUCCUACAACAUUUUACAACAUCAUCUCCCCUGCUCCAUUUUUUUCACCAUCAGUAUAUAAUAAUAUUUUCCAGUAUCAUUUAAUAAUAAAGUGUCAUUGAUGCUCUUUUUGUCCCUGAAGCUGAGGAAAAUAAUAUUUUCCAGUCAAGCUACAAGGAAAUCACAGGAUGCAAAACAUCCACAAUUCAUAGUCAUGGGUACAUGUCUAAACGUCAAACACAGAGGGAAUCAAUGCAGGAUCGACUAGAAGAACAAGCCCGUGCUCCAGAAGUAGCCAACCAAAAAAAUAUUGAGCUACAAGGUCAGGUUGUCAGUUUAAAUGAAAAAUUAGUGAGUCAAGAAGCUGAAUGCAAGUGAAAGGAGAUUGUGAAGAAAAAUUCCAACAGUUUAAAGAGGAAGAGAGUAACAAACUACAAGCACUUCAAGAAGAAUUUACGGCUGCACUUGCAGCCAGUAGAGGAACCCCUUUUGUUGAGACUGCCACAAAAAGCAUCGACCAAAGUGAAGCUGCGCCAACAGUUAAUGAGGGAAGUGUUGCCAACAUUCUAGCUUCUAAUGCAAGUGAAGCCCCAACAGUUCUAGUUCAAAAUAUUCCGCUAUUGAUUGCACCCAUGAUGAUAAUGGAAUAUAUGCUAAUUUCCUACCUUAUUUUUCCUUAUGCAGGCUGCCCCUAAAAGCAUCGCCCCCAGUGAAGCUACACCAACCGUUCAAAAAGCUGCUACAAAAACACUAGUUUCUAAGCCCCCGCGAAGUGUUUCUCAAAACAACAAGAAUUAUAUUUCUACACAUCAACUGAUGAAUGCUGCUGUAAAAUGUGUACGGACACGAAGCCAACAGGAUAUUUGAACAUAAAUGGAUCACUCGGACUUGGAUGCCUUUCAUGGUCAACACAAGGAAUCAUGGAGUGCCGACCAGUGCUUGCUCUAGCCUACAUAAGAUAGAUGUUGGGUAAUUUUGAUAACCCAACACUAGCUAUUUAUGAACUAUUUUGAUUUCAGAUAAUGUAUUGGGCACUUUAUGUACUAGUUUUUACCAAAGUUUUAAAUCGCCGGCUAAAACGUUUAGCGGCAGAGCUGCCGUUACGGCGUUUAGCGAACUAUAGCCGGCAUUUAGCGGGCUAUAGCCGGCUUUAGCGGGCUAAAUGCCAUAGCGGCUAAUC